AGACCAGAUUUUGCAGUUUA
rnacentral:miRNA from 1 species